rnacentral:lncRNA from 1 species
CAAACUCCAGGGCAUAUACCCCAGAAAACGUAGCUGCUUCACUACUACCAAGUGACCUCUAUCAAGGAAUUCACUAAUUUGAAGCCCCUUUCAGUUUCUGCUGCCUGGCUCAUUGCAGAAAUUCUGGGAACUAAUGAAUUGAUCUAUAGCCCCUGGUACGCCAUCCCAGUACUGGUUUCCAUCGUGGGGAGCCAGUAUCUGUCCUUGAAGCUGUGACCAUGCCUGCAAGGUGAGAGGAUCAAUGCUGUCUGUGACAUCACUAGCACUCCCAGCUUUCUUUUACCAGAAUUCUGAUUUGUCUCCACCAUAAAAUCAUCUUUCCUAUGCUUAUUUCUGGUUAAUUGAAAACAAAAAAUUUCCACUUACCUUUCUAUUCUUUAUGGUUCUGGGCACUCAGGAGGGCACCUAGAAGUCCUCAGAUUUGCUGUGACUAAAGCCGUUUGGUCUCUCUGGAUAACUGGUUCAGAAGGUAAAAACACUCCUCGGUGCAGAAUCUUCUUUUUUUUUUGAGACUUAGUUUCACUCUUGUUGCCCAGGCUUGAGUGCAAUGGAGCAAUCUCGGCUCACUGCAACCUCUGCUUCCCAGGUUCAAGCAAUUUUCCCACCUCAGCCUCCCAAAUUGCUAGGAUUACAGGAGCCCACCACUAUGCCUGGCUAAUUUUUGUAUAUUUAGUAGAGGUGGAGUUUCAUCGUGUUGGUCAGGCUGGUCUCAAACUCCUGACCUCAGGUAAUCCACCUGCCUCAGCAUCCCAAAUGGGCAGGGGCAGAGUCUUCUAUGCCUUCUGAGGUGGUUCUCUCCCCUCCUCUAGCAGAGAACAGAAAGCAGUCAGACACUCUCUGUGUGAGAUCAUCAAGUAAAGGACCUCAUUAGCUCUACAUUCUUGCUGAUUGGUCUGCAAACCAAGAAGGGGCGGGGCCUGAGGGGAGGGACAUUCAAAUUCCAGGAAGUCUUUUCAAGUUAGGUCUUCCCCUCCGUUUUCCUACUUUGCCUCUUUACUUUUCCUGUCUUCCUCUUCUCCCCUUCCUCCUCCUUUCCUGAGUCCCCCUCAAUUCUUAAUAGAAACCAGUAUCCAGAUAGCUCACUAGGGGUUGAAGAGCUUGUUGGUAGAUUGAAAAGUAAAUGCAAAGGAGGAAAAUGGAAGAAUCUGGUGGUAACAGCAGAUGCAAAUCUCCUCCACAAAAGACAGCUUUUCAGGGUUAUUCUUUUUGCAGGCCCUUUGAACAGCCACCUUGAAGGAAGUCAAAGAAGUAUAUUUUGGGGGUAAAAUUAUGUUGGUUUCCUUAACUAUUUUGAUUUUCAGUUUUACAUCUCUUUUGAACUUGAGAAAAUUGACUUUGAUUAUGCCUUUAUUUUAUUUCUUCUCUUUGAGAUAUUCUGUUAUCUCUUAUUGAACAUCAGCUAUCUUCAUCUUUGAUCGCCAAUCUCU